UUUACAGAAACCUGGCCAAAAUCGGAGGCCCCCGGUUGGGGGCAGAGACUAGAGAAGUAGGCAGAGUGGCUCAGAGGGCACGAGACUGACUGGGGCCUGGGAUUGAUGGAACCGUGGGAGGAAAGGGUUAAUGGGCUACUGGUGUCAGGUUGGGGAUUGGGGGGGGUGCUCAGGCGGAGGUGCCUGGCAGACAUUCCCUGAGGUCACAUGGGAGAAAUUUCCAGGAAGAUACUUAAGGCCUUCAGAGUGAGUUCCCUUAAGUGAGUACCUCUGCCGAGACCUGUCCUGGGGUAGUGACAGCAGAUGGCUGGAGCCCAGCUGGGGGGUGCCCAGGCCCCAGAGGGAGAAGUGUGGGCUCACCAGGACCUCCCCACAUCAGCCUCCUCUGUCAUCCAUGGAAGAGUCCCUGCCAGUCCAAGGCCGAGGCUGUUUCCUGCCCAUUCACUCCACUGGGCCCCCUCCGCCCUCCAGCAAGUGCCCUACGGAGCCAUGUUGGACGGGGAGGAAUGGAUUCCCGCCCCAGACCCCUGUGGAUCCAGAAGACCAGGACAGAGACCGAGGGGAGCACCUGCAGCGCGUGAGAGCCAGAGGGGGCCUUGGGAUCACCCGGUGCCGCCCUUGAUUCACGGAGGAAGGAAGGCGAGGCCGAGAAAGCAGGAAGGGACUCCGUUAACUGAUGGCAAUUUCGAGCCAGGGCCUCCUUUCUGUGUGAAGAGGGGAAGUGGUGGGAGCAGCCACCGUGGAUAAAUAUGAAAUGCUUCCCCCUGGAGCUCAGAGCCCUCUCGGCCGGCUGUUCUGCCUCCUUGAGGGCGAGAGUGUUCAUACCAUUCCUCUACUGGAGACCCCUUACCAGGCUUCUAGGUGCUUCUCAGACCCAGCCCAGCAGACGCCUCCUCCUUGGCUGGGUCCUGGCCUCUCCCCGGCUUGAGCAGUGCCCAGAGAGAAGUGCCGGGAUG